AGAAUCAACGCUGGCGGCGUGCCUAACACAUGCAAGUCGAACGAGAAAGGGGAGCAAUCCCUGAGUAAAGUGGCGCACGGGUGAGUAACACGUGACUAACCUACCCUUGAGUGGGGGAUAACCUAGGGAAACCUGGGCUAAUACCGCAUAAUACCUUCGGGUCAAAGGAGCAAUUCGCUUAAGGAGGGGGUCGCGGCCGAUUAGUUAGUUGGCGGGGUAAUGGCCCACCAAGACUGUGAUCGGUAUCCGGCCUGAGAGGGCGCACGGACACACUGGAACUGAAACACGGUCCAGACUCCUACGGGAGGCAGCAGUGGGGAAUUUUGCGCAAUGGGGGAAACCCUGACGCAGCAACGCCGCGUGGAGGAUGAAGUCCCUUGGGACGUAAACUCCUUUCGAUCGGGACGAUUAUGACGGUACCGGAAGAAGAAGCCCGGCUAACUCGCGCCAGCAGCCGC
rnacentral:rRNA from 1 species